rnacentral:piRNA from 1 species
UACCAGGUUUGUCAGCCUGUGGGGAUCCAC